rnacentral:lncRNA from 1 species
CAUGAACUUUCUUGAUCCCGAGUUUAGGGACCACUACAGAUCUGGGGGAUCCCAGGUCCCACAUACAGACCGCUGGGACCUGGGCGGGGUGGUCCUGAGGCACUCACUGGUCAUCUAUGAUGUGCUUGCAGGAAGUGGAGACUAUGUAGCCAGCUGUGGAGGCCAUGAUGGCUUGGACAGAGGACACCAACCUAGGAAGACAGAGGAAGGAGUGACAAUCAGCCAAGCUGCGCUUAGCUUCCAUCCUCAGUUCCCGCCUCUCCCAGCCUUCUUCAUUCCUAGUUUGUGCCAGUGGAAUCAUCUUCUUCCCAGGACACCAGGGAGGCGUCCUGAGGUGAGCCAGUGCCUAACAGUGAGCUCUCUCUCCCUGGGGA